rnacentral:lncRNA from 1 species
CUUCCUGCUGAUGCCCAUCGAGACUGCUAUCUUUUGUCACGCUCAGUGUCCUCCCUGCUUGCUGUUUGAUGUCACUAUCGACUUUAUUAGGCAACAGACCUGUGAUGAUGUCUCCAUUCUCCUACAAACUGAAAAUGAGCGCACACAGAAAUAGUUUAGAUAUGUCCAAAGGUGUGUGGUACCUAUUGCUGUCCAGUACUCUGUUGGACUGAAAGGAGACCUCUGCUUCAAAAAAGGCAAUUGUGGGUAACCCUGUACAGAAGACUUGGCUCCCUGCAGAAGCUGGAAUUUAGAAGCCAACGAGUCAGAGAGGAAAUGCAAGAUCCACAGCAGGAUCCUCUCCCAGUAGCCCCAUGGAGGCGCAGCUCUUGGCGUUUGUCUAUGAGACGUGGCAGAACAUUCCUAAAACAUCAAAUGCAGAGGCCUUCCUCCUUGUACUGCUGCAAGUUUAUACCUACAAGAUAAAACCCUGACUAUGCAGAGGCAAAAUCCUGAUACACUUCCAGAUCAAGAAUUAAUUAUAAAUCAACUGGCCUAAGAAAUAAAUCUUAUCAUUUUUAAUGUGUCA